GACGAACGCUGGCGGCGUGCUUAACACAUGCAAGUCGAACGAGAGGACAAGAGAAGCUUGCUUCUUUUGGAAUCGAGUGGCAAACGGGUGAGUAACACGUAAACAACCUGCCUUCAGGAUGGGGACAACAGACGGAAACGACUGCUAAUACCGAAUACGCUUGGGAGACCGCAUGAUCUACCAAGGAAAGGGUGGCCUCUACCUGUAAGCUAUCGCCUGAAGAGGGGUUUGCGUCUGAUUAGGCAGUUGGUGAGGUAACGGCCCACCAAACCUACGAUCAGUAGCCGGUCUGAGAGGAUGAACGGCCACACUGGAACUGAGACACGGUCCAGACUCCUACGGAGGCAGCAGUGGGGAAUCUUCCGCAAUGGGCGAAAGCCUGACGGAGCAACGCCGCGUGAGUGAUGACGGCC
rnacentral:rRNA from 1 species